rnacentral:rRNA from 1 species
GAUGAACGCUAGCGGCAGGCCUAAUACAUGCAAGUCGGACGGGAUUCAGGAGCUUGCUUCUGAUGAGAGUGGCGCACGGGUGCGUAACACGUAUGUAACCUACCUUUAUCAGGGGGAUAGCCUCUCGAAAGAGAGAUUAAGCCCGCAUAAAAUCACAGCACAGCAUUGUGUAAUAUCAAAUAUUUAUAGGAUAAAGAUGGGCAUGCGGAACAUUAGCUAGAUGGCGGGGUAACGGCCCACCAUGGCGACGAUGUUUAGGGGAUCUGAGAGGAUGGCCCACCACACUGGUACUGAGGCACGGACCAGACUCCUACGGGAGGCAGCAGUAAGGAAGAUAGGUCAAUGGGCGGAAGCCUGAACCAGCCAUGCCGCGUGCAGGAAGACGGCCCUACGGGUUGUAAUCUGCUUUUAUACGGAAAUAAACCCAGAUACGUGUAUCUGGCUGAAUGUACUGUAAGAAUAAGGAUCGGCUAACUCCGUG